CGCAUACAUUUGUGAUCUGCAAGCAAUUCACUGAACCUAAAAGCAUGGAAAAGGUUCAUAGAUUUAAAAUGCUAUUGUGAAUUUUAAGUACUCAUAAAAAUUUGGCUUCGUCGUGAUCCUACAUUUUUGGAACUCUAUCAAAAAACUUAAGUUACUAAUUGCAAAAAUGUAAUGGCAACUAAAUACAGAGUAAGGAUAAACGUUGACCUUUUUUCGUAUACGAUAUGCCUAUACUGCGUAGAGAUGAGUAAAAAACGAUGUCAAUAGUCAAAGCCUUUUGCAACAUGCCACCCUUAUUCACUGGCGAAAAAGAUAUACACCGUAAAAGCAAGCUUCUAGAGAUCUAUCUGCUUGCUUUUAAAAAUGAAAAAAAAAUGUUUUUCGAUGACUUGUACAGAGCUUAAGGAUAUUAGUAACAAUAAACAAUAGCUUUUACAAAUAAUAACCAAUAUAUAUAUAUAUAUUUACUUCUCCUCCACUGUGAAACAUUUAUUGCGCAAACGUUUUUUAAUUAAUUUUUUCAAUUAAUAUUCACGCCUCAAAUAGUUCAUUUUCUGCACUCUUCGCAAAAAAUCUAUAACACGCGCUCAAGACUUGCUCUUCGUUCAUUGGUACAAAGCAAUUCAUCAAAUAGUUAUAAGUGUGAGUGUCUGUUGUGUACAAAGGUCCUUUGGGGUAGAUAGGCACUUUGGCAGCGAACUUCAAGCGACUUUCAAAUACAGGGAGUGAAAGAACUCCUCUCAGUAAAACUGGAUAUAAGUAUGGAACUAGAUCUCGUAUUUCAAGUUUACGAUUUUCACCUUUUCUGUUUUCAUCACAUAGAUAAGAAGUAGACAUUCUCGAGUCUUCAAAAUACGUCCCACAAAAAUCACAAGUACCAUCCCUUUCUUUAACAACAUCAGUAAACAUCACCAAAGACUUUAAUGGUUUUCUUAGAAAUUGAAACCUAUCAAGUCCAGCAUGUACGUUGUAGUAACUUGCGUGUUUCACAUUAAAAAGUUCAGCAGCCAGCACCACAUCAUGAAGCAGUCCAGAUGAUUCAUUGAUUUCUCCAUUCAAAAGCAUUUUUUUCUCUCUCUCUUCACUGUAUUUUUCUAUACUCAAUAAAUAUUUUUGCGUAUACGAGGCUUCAGAAAGAGCAAUGGAAUGCCAAAAAAUGAUAUCACGUAGCGAAUACCAAUUUUUAAGAGUAGUUUGAGCGAGUUUGUCAAUUUCCAAAGGUGACCAUCAAGAAGACUUGGAUAUCGACCUCUUUGGGUUUUCAACUCGGGAAUAUUCAUUAAAAGGGGCUCGGCAAUCCAAUAAGUUCCCUCAACUAAAAAUGGUUUUAAUUGCAUAAAAACUUGUGCAACCAUGCCAUAAGCAAUAUCAAACUGUGUAAAUAGUCUAUUAUCCUUUACCAAGCGAACGAUGAUGUUCUCAAUAUCCUGAGUGCCAUUCACCAAUUCCUUAAACGAUAUCUCGCAGUUUGAAAUCAUCUUUUUUUUGGUUUUUUGCGCUUGUUACUAAUAAAGAGAUUCCGUAAGCGGAGGACUUUUAUGAGCUAAUGCCAGAGGUUGAACAUGAGACCACCCAGCAGUUGAAAAUUGAAUCACCUUCAAAAAAUGUUCAUCAAUUGUAUUUCCUACUUUUAGAUAGUUUGAAUUCGAAUUAAAUGUCUCG